UCCCUCUCCCCGCACUCCCGGUACAAAUAUGGCUUCUGUGUAAUAUGGACAGAGUGAUUGAGCUCAGAGAGGCAAAGUCAACUUCCCCGAAGCGGUGCUAGGAGACAGGAGCCUGGGCUUGGAGGGGCUGCCCGCUGCUGGGAGGGGAGAG